AUUGCCAAAACUUGAACUGUAUUCCUUGUUCUCCAGGUGGUCCAGGUAAACGCCUGAUUGCCAAAACUUGAACUGUAUUCCCUUUUUCUCCAGGUGGGCGCCUGAUUGCCAAAAACUUGAACUAUUUUCCCUUUUUCUUCAGGUGGGUGCCUGAUUGUCAAAAACAUGAACUAUAUUCCCUUGUUCUCCAGGUGGGUGCUUGAUUGCCAAAAACUUCAACUGUAUUCCCUUGUUUUUUAGGUGGGCACCUGAUUGCCAAAACUUGAACUAUAUUCCUAUGUUCUCCAAGUGGCCGCCUGAUUGCCAAAACAUGAACUGUAAUCCCUUUUUCUCCAAGUGGUUGCCUGAUUGCUAUAAACUCGAAAUGUAUUCCAUUGUUUUCCAAGUGGGCAACGGAUUGCCAAAGCUUGAACUAUAUUCCCUUGUUCUCCAGGUGGGUGCCUGAUUGCUAAAAACUUGAACUAUAUUCCUUUGUUAUCCAGGUGGACGCCUGAUUGCCAAAAACAUGAACUGUAUUCCCUAGUUUUUUAGGUGGGCACCUGUUUGCCAAAACAUGAACUGUAUUCCCUUGUUCUUCAGGUGGGCACCUAAUUGCCAAAACAUGAACUUUAUUCCCUUGUUCUCCAGGUGGGCGCCAAAUUGCCAAAACUUUAAUUGUAUUCUCUUGUUCUCUAGGUGGUCCUUGUGGUCGCCUGAUUGCCAAAACUUGACCUUUAUUCCCUUGUUCUCCAGGUGGGCGCCUGAUUUCCAUAACUUGAACUAUAUUUCCUUGUUCUCCAGGUAGGCGCCUGAUUGCCAAAAACUUGAACUAUAUUCCCUUGUUCUCCAGGUAGGCACCUGAUUGCCAAAAACUUGAACUAUAUUCUUGUUCUCUAGGUGAGUGCUUGAUUUCCAAAAACUUCUACUGUAUUCCCUGGUUUUUCAGGUGGGCACCUGAUUGCCAAAACUUGAACUAUAUUCCCUUGUUCUCCAAGUGGGCGCCUAAUUGCCAAAACAUGAACUGUAAUCCCUUUUUCUCUAGGUGGGCGCCUGAUUGCCAAAAACUUGAACUGUAUUCCCUUGUUUUCUUGGUGGACCCCGGAUUGCCUAAACUUGAAUUGUAUACCCUUGUUCUCCAGGUGGGCGCCUGAUUGCCAUAACUUGAACUAUAUUUCCUUGUUCUCUAGGUGGGCGCUUGAUUGCCAAAAACAUGAACUAUAUUUCAUUGUUCUCCAGGUGGGCGCUUGAUUGCCAAGAACCUGAACUAUAUUUUCU
rnacentral:lncRNA from 1 species